GCUGGAGAUCCCUGUCUAUCCAAGGCCUCCCACAGGUCUUCAUCUGAGUUCAUCUAACCGUGACAUGAAUGAGGUCAGCUUGUUUCCUGUAAAUAGCCACCCAGUGGAGUUCGGAGUGGCCAAGGCUUACCCUCCCCAUUGUCUUUGAAUGGCUUCUCUGUAGGACCCGUGAUGCAGAAAUGCUGUAUCCAGGUACCUGCGUAUAAAUAACAGCAUAGGCAUAAGGCACUGUAUUCUUUCUUGUGAAUGAGGGCUGAACUGAUUGUGCUGGAAGAUAUUCUGGAAUCUUGUCCCUCUCCUGGGACAGACAGCUGGUUGUGCUAACGGAGCUAGCAAGGACCACGGACACAAUUUCUCAGAACCUGCAAGUUUCUACAGGCUUGUUUCAUGCACAGUGAGGCUUCAGUAAGGCUUAACAAACAAGACUUCAGGUACGAAGAGGAACAAACUAAGUGAGCGCAAUUUCUCUGACUUUGCUCUGUUGGUUAGAAUUCCUACACUACAAGUACACAGCUUGUCACAUGCAGAGGCAUUUUGUCAGAGGAUUCUCAGCUGACCUUCAUCUCUACUAACCUCUGCUCAGCUGUGUGGAGCUCAAGAAUAUUCAGUAGACAACAGGAGAAAGCUUUGUUAAUUAUUGAGAUGAACUUUCCUAAAUGCGUACCCUGCCCUCUAUGCGAAUCACGUACAAUAACAAACAAGAACUAUCUUCAAGGCAGGGUGUAUAAAAGAACAACUACGUCUAGGUAUUCAGAUUACGUCUGUUAUUAAUUUUGGUUGGGAGCUCAAAUAGGACAGCUCUUAUUUUCAAAAAGGCUGCUGGGCAGAGCAAUGGGAUGUUGAGAAAAGUACGUGCAGAAAGAAGCCCGGGUGUCUUCUCUGUAAGACCCAAGCAACAAUGUUGUUAAAAUACUUGGUCUGUAGGGGAGAUGAGGGAUGUCAGCCUGCUGAUGGCAAUUCCUGCUACAAGAUGGCCAGAUAAUCCCCCUUUACUGGGGGAUUUAUUUCCAUAUCUGUUUUGCAUCCUGUUUUUGUUGCGGAGAUAAAAAACGUAAGUCUAAAGCCAUUAGAAGGAGGCAGACAACAUCCUCAGGUGUUUCUGCAGUACACACAGCAGUUCAGCCAACUUCUUUGUCCUUGUAGCAGACUAAAUAAAUACAGAAAUUCAUCCAAACAGACAGAGCUGGAAGCUCUGACUCUGAGAAUCAGGAUCAAACUUUUACUUGACAGGGGAAACAGAACCGGUUUGUCUUAGUAAUUCACAUCUGCUUUGUACAGACCAAAGUUGAAUUCACCUAAAUAUUUAUUCAGCCAUUACAUUUCCUUUUGCCUAGAAAUAAAGUGGGCUCAACUUAUCUCAAAUUCAACUUCACUUAAAAUCUGCACGGAGACUUGAAAGACACUGGAAAGAGCAGCAAUGACAGCAGAAUAGCCAAGUCCUAGGCUGCACUAAGUGAGGACUUGCUCAAAUGCAACAGCUCUGGGCACAGAAACAAAGGAAAGAAGCUGCUUACCUUUGGAAGGCCUCAGGUAGGCAGGGAUCUCCAGUAAGAUCCCCUUACCUCCCCUGCCUGCCCUUAAAUGAGGUCUGGGAAGGGGUGGGUCCUGGCUCCACUCUUUCCAGUCACUCAGUUGCAUUGCCUGCACCUGAGCUCCCCUGGCUUGGCCCUGCCUUCCCACCAGGUGCCCCAUCCCUGCUUCAAGCCAUGACUUAGCAUUUCUGCUACACUACUUAAUUCCUUUUCUAAAAAACAGGGCAUAAGAAGUAUUAAAUACUUGACUUCCUGUUGUAUCUGGCUUCACCCUCCUUGAAAUACAAGUUUAGAUGUCCUUAAACCACAGUGUUGAAAAUGGAAAUUAAGUGCAGUUUUAGUAGCCAGGAUGCAGACAUGAAAUUAUUUUUAUUGAUUGAUCUAAUUACAUAACCUUGCAAUGCCACGUUUGCACUCACGUGGAUUUUGCACGCUUCUCCUCCACUUCGCUGAAGUUUUUAAUCAACCUCAAAAGAUCUCUUAAUGCUGCUGAUCUCCCUCCUACCAUAAACAUUAAACACUCAAAGCUGGCAGUUGAGCUCUUUACACUCUACAGCCCGGUUAUCUGAAAUCCAUCUCACCUAAAAAUGGAGUACAAGAUUUUUCUCACUGGUUCUUGCAAUGCAUUCCUUGUGCUCAAUCCCUUGUUUCUUUGCACUCGUAGAUGGUUUUCUGAAGGGCAUGUUUUGUUUUUCUCCAAGCCCACAGUUUAGAGCAAUGACGCUACACGUUUCGUAAAUUUAAUGUCUGGAUUUGUUCCCUGCACGCUUCUGAUUUUGCAACGUGUAUGUGACAAUGGAAGUAUAUUGAAUAACGAAGGCAAGACUAAUGAUGUAGCAUGGGCUUUAAUUCCCAUUGCGUCUCUAACUGAACUAUUUCAAACUUAAUUUUGGAUUGAAAAACAGAGAGAGCUAUGUGUACUCUUGAAAUCCUGAUAUUAGUAAGUUUUAGGAAGGGCAAGGCAGCUGUGAUUACUUGUGGAAUCUAUCAGUUCUCAUGCUUUGACAUUCCCCAAGAGACUGGCUGUAUCUUCUCUACAAAAAAGCUGCCCAAGUUCCAGUGGAUUGGUGUUCGGAUUACAGCGUCUGAAAGAUCAAAGGACGAUUACUCUUGCUCACCUUCAACCUUUCUUAUGCAUCGGUGUCCUUUUAGGAGAACGCUCCAAAUUCAUACUAUUGAAGCAGGGGAAAGACACUGAAUGAGAAAGUUGAGUUAAAAAGCGAGCAAAAUUUCUGUUACUAAGAAGAAGGGAAAAAUCCCUCAGAAAAGUCAUAACAGCUUUUGAAGUGCUAUCUCGGUCAACUCAGACUACCCCUGGAAUAGGCUGCAUGACAACUUUAAGAACUGCCCUCUGCAUCUACUCAUUUCUCAGCUUAUCUUCUGAACCUCUUCCAAGCCCCGCAGAGUCUACAAACGAAUACUUGACAAUCUCUGCCUGUACUCCUUGUUGUUGGUCUUGAAACGUCAAUAAUUGGGUUUGUUGAUCUUUGCUCUGUUUAACUGCUGACCACUUGCUUUCUUGAGCUCAGGAAAUCUUUCUUGCCUUGUUCUUCGCUUCUUGUCAUUUCAGCUAGUGCAGCGUUAACUCAUUCAUUCAUUUUAAUGCAUUUUGUUUAUCUCUUGCGUGCAGUUUGGAGGCUGUGAGCUACAGUAGAUGGGGUUGGUCUUCUUGUGUCAAGAGAAUGUAGUUUGGUGAAUUUCACUGUAUAUCAACUAUUGCACAGUGGUUCUACUGAUUUGCAUGAGCAAUGUGUAGAAGAACGCAACGUAAAAUUAGUUUGUAAAUUUGAAUAGAACAUUACUUGUCAAACACAGGUCAUCGCUUCUCCUAUUAUCUAAGGUGUAUGAAAGCAAAGCCCAUAGGAAAAGCUAAAAACCUGUUUAAACAAAACAGGUUACCUUUGACAUUCUGGUGAUUUUUCUCUAAGGAAAACAUGUUUUCCUACUUUAGAAAUGAAGCUCAAAAGACCCA